GACGAACGCUGGCGGCGUGCUUAACACAUGCAAGUCGAACGGAAAGGCCCCUUUGGGGGUACUCGAGUGGCGAACGGGUGAGUAACACGGGAGUAACCUGCCCUUUACUUCGGGAUAACUUCAGGAAACUGGGGCUAAUACCGGAUAGGAAUCCUUGCUGCAUGGUGGGGGUUGGAAAGCUUCGGCGGUUUUGGAUGGACUCGCGGCUUAUCAGCUUGUUGGUGGGGUAGUGGCUUACCAAGGCUUUGACGGGUAGCCGGCCUGAGAGGGCGACCGGCCACCUUGGGCCUGAGAUACGGCCCAGACUCCUACGGGAGGCAGCAGUGGGGAAUAUUGCACAAUGGGCGGAAGCCUGAUGCAGCAACGCCGCGUGCGGGAUGACGGCCUUCGGGUUGUAAACAGCUUUCAGCAGGGGCGAAGCUUUUGUGACGGUACCUGCAGAAGAAGCACCGGCUAACUACGUG
rnacentral:rRNA from 1 species